rnacentral:rRNA from 1 species
UACGGGGGGGAGCAAGCGUUGUUCGGAUUUACUGGGCGUAAAGGGCGCGUAGGCGGCACCGCAAGUCGACUGUGAAAUCUCCGGGCUUAACCCGGAAAGGUCAGCCGAUACUGCGGGGCUAGAGUGCAGAAGGGGCAACUGGAAUUCUCGGUGUAGCGGUGAAAUGCGUAGAUAUCGAGAGGAACACCUGCGGCGAAGGCGGGUUGCUGGGCUGAUACUGACGCUGAGGCGCGAAAGCCAGGGGAGCGAACGGG